rnacentral:rRNA from 1 species
GAUGAACGCUGGCGGCGUGCCUAAUACAUGCAAGUCGAGCGAACGGACGAGAAGCUUGCUUCUCUGAUGUUAGCGGCGGACGGGUGAGUAACACGUGGAUAACCUACCUAUAAGACUGGGAUAACUUCGGGAAACCGUAGCUAAUACCGGAUAAUAUUUUGAACCGCAUGGUUCAAAAGUGAAAGACGGUCUUGCUGUCACCUAUAGAUGGAUCCGCGCUGCAUUAGCUAGUUGGUAAGGUAACGGCUUACCAAGGCAACGAUGCAUAGCCGACCUGAGAGGGUGAUCGGCCACACUGGAACUGAGACACGGUCCAGACUCCUACGGGAGGCAGCAGUAGGGAAUCUUCCGCAAUGGGAGAAAGCCUGACGGAGCAACGCCGCGUGAGUGAUGAAGGUCUUCGGAUCGUAAAACUCUGUUAUUAGGGAAGAACAUAUGUGUAAGUAACUGUGCACAUCUUGACGGUACCUAAUCAGAAAGCCACGGCUAACUACGUG